UGCGGAAUUGUGUAACGGCAGCACGACAGACUCUGACUCUGUUUGUCUAGGUUCAAAUCCUAGUUCCGCAGCCA
rnacentral:tRNA from 1 species